AUGAAAUAAAUAAUUGCUCAGAUCAAAGGCACCUGACCUCCCAGAUGCUGCUGGACUAUAAUUCCCCACAUCCCUGACUACUAGCCAGCCUCGCAAGCGAUAUAAGGAAGGGCUUAGGAUGAGCAGCAGAGGGAGCCAAAGUCCAAGGAACCCAACAGUGGAUAAUCUGGAAGUUGCCUUCGAAGAGAUCCUCUAGACAGCAGGUUUAUUGAGCAUUUAUCAUGAUUUGCUUUGUAGGCUAGACUAUAAGCCCUUCAAGGCUCUUGCUAAUUUCUGAUGUGAUUCAGUUGCAUACUGGCAAAUUCAGGCACAUAAUAUUUAUGAUGUGGAAAUGGUGUACAGAUGGUUGAAGCCUGCCGUUUUUCAUUUGAUGAGGCUGAAGAGAGGGGUUAAAAAUAUUUGCUGUAGUGUUGUCAUGAGAAAGCUGAACAAAUGUGCUUUGAAUAGUUGCAGAAUAUGAAGAUGAUAAAGACUGGCAACAAGCCUAGAACAGUGCAUGCCUCUCAACCAUCCCAAUAAAACCGGGACAUCCCUUUUUUCACACGAGCGCACAACAGCCAUUUUAGGCGCCAUUAUCUGGCCGCAAUCUCGCAAGGCACCCCAAAACACAUGUUUUUUGGGCGCUGUGCCUGAAAAAGCACUUUUUCAAGGCCAUGAUCUGUGGAUCACAUGAGUCACGUGGAAAUGCAGCCCUGGAAGGUGGAGUCUUGGUUUUUCAACGCAUCAUGUUGGAGGAUGUGCAGUGUUUGAGGUUGUUUUUUUUUGCCAAAAAUGAAAAAUAAAAUAAAUGAAUGAUGAAUGUACGGGGCCUUGGGUCUGGAGAAGAACAACCAUGAAACCAGAAGGAUAGGUUAAGGUGGUGUGGUAAAUCAACCCAGAAUUUCCUUUCUAAAAGUCUACUUUGUAUAUAAGAAGCCUAGUGAAGCGCCCUAAGAUCUUGUGAUGAAGGGCAGUGUUUAAUUUAAUAAAUAAAAAUAAAUAAAUAGUGUAGUAAAAUUGAAGCAUUGUCAAAGUAGUGAUAAGGGGAAAAGAGUAAAAUUGUUUGGAUUUUUUCUCUCUAUAUGUAAACAUUCCUGCUAUCUAUUUCUGGCUAUUGGUUAACAAACCUGCUUCUCCCAAAGACUGAAUUUUUUGUGAUAAGGAAAGUGCUGAGAAAAUGCAUGGUAGAGAGUUGUUUAAUCUCCAAAUAAUAGAAUAAAAAAAUUACAGAGUUGGAAGGGACCCUAAGGGUCAGGAUGAAUGCUCGAAAUAGGUCUUCUGGAAGCACCCAUAGUUUAGUCUUUAUUGAGCAUUAGUUCUGAUUGGUUCAUGGGGCAGUUCUAUGACUUGGAACUCAGCUACAUUAGUAAAGAAACAACUUGAAUGUAUUAUAAACAUGCAACACCAGAUGGCGCCAGAGAGCAGAAAGUUUUUCUACCCGAAUUUCCAAAGGGGUUCCCCCCCUUUUGUUAUAACGAUUAAUUUCUGACUUAUUUAUAUCAUUUCCCCCCCCCCUGUGUGUAGCUCCACCCAGUAAGCAUUUGUGCAGCAUGCACCUUUAUUGUCUACAUUGUAGACAAUACUGAGCUAGAUGGAGGGCACCAGGGUGGUGAAGGCUUGCCAGCACAAAUGUUGAAUCAUGCACAAGUGUCUGCAUAGGAGGGAGUGUGUAUGCAAAGCAAUCAUAGGAAGGUUUUAUGGGGUACACUGAGAGCUUCCUUCCUUCUCUGUUACCUGGCAUGAGAAUCCCAAGCAAGAAUUGAGAACAUCUCUCAAUGCUGGAGUUGACCAGUAAAAGCAGGGGUCAGCAAACUUUUUCAGCAGGGGGCUGGUCCACUGUCCCUCAGACCUUGUGGGGGGGCCAGACUAUUGGGGGGCGGAAUGAACGAAUUCCUACGCCCCACAAAUAACCCAGAGACGCAUUUUAAAUAAUAGGACACAUUCUACUCCUGUAAAAACCCUGAUUCCCAGAUCGUCUGUGGGCCGGAUUUAGAAGGCGAUUGGGCUGGAUCCGGCUCCCGUGCCUUAGUUUGCCAACCCAUGAGUAAAAGGGACCUUAAUGGGAAUUGUAAUCCAGAACACCUGAAGCACACCGGGUUACGUGCAACUUCCAUUAUAUGGCUGUGCUGAUUCGGGCAAAUGGGAGAUGUAGUCCAAAACAGCAAGUGCUCAAGAGGAGAGUUGUGAAAAUGCCUUGGUGCUCUUUUCACUGGGGAGGAGAUGGCCCAGAAGCCCUUUCUCUUUGUCUUGGCAUUUUUACAGGGCUGGGAAGCUUUAGCCAAAGCAAGCAAGCAAGCAAGCAAGCAAACAAACCUUCCUGCCAUGGACUAAGGCAAACAUAUGGAACCUGUGGCUCUGCAGAUGCUGUUGACCUGAAUCUCCCAUUAUUUCUGACCAUUGGCCAUGCUGGCUGGGGCUGAUGGGAUUUGGAAUCUUAAUAACAUGGCUAAACUAUAUUUCCCAUUAUUUCUGACCCAUGGGGCUUGCUCACUGUAUCAUGACGGGAGCCAGAAUCCAACAACAUGAUGAAAUUACAACUCUCACCAUCCCUGGCUGGGACUGAUGGGAGCUGCAGUCUAGAAACAUGCUUCAACUACAACUCCCAGAAUUCCUGACCAUGGGCCACACUGGCUGGCUCUGAUGGGACAUCAGCACCUGGAGGCCCACAGGACCCUCAGCCCUGCACUUGGGCAAAUCGGCAACUGUGAUCCAGGGACAACUGUGGAAAAACUGACGUGUAGCAAGAGGCUUUUCCUACCACCCCUUGCCUCACCUGCUUUUGCAUGCCAGUUUUCCUUGCUGUUUCACUCCCCCACUUUUUACAAGCACCUGGCAUACAAAGCAGCCUUUCAAAAAGGAAGCAGACAGGUUUGCUCUCCUGCUGCGGAUCAGCCGGCUUUUUCGUCUGGAGCGCCCCAGGAGCCCCAGAUGCCCUAUGUUCUAUUAACGGGAACAAAAGGGGCCUUUACAGUUGUGAGCUAAAAGAACUGUUUUUACCGUUCUUUUGUACGGUUAAAUUAAAAUAAAGCCAACCCAAUGCUGGCUUUUUACCUUUUAGCUCUCUGAACAGUGGGGCAGCUAGGCUGUUCUUGAAUUUGAACCAUCCAUUGUUGGAGCCAUGAUGAAAAUUAAUAUUAUUAAUGCUAUUGUAGCAGCAGCAGCAGCAAUAAUAUGGUAUUAGUACUACUACAACUUAGCACAGCUAAACACAUUAUACUGACCAAUGAUUUCAGGGUUACCAGGAACUAGAACUGGGCGUAAGAGAUGAUAUUGCUAAAACAAUAUCAUCAGUGUCCAGGCUGAACGAUGGGCAUGGACACGCUCCUAAAGGUAUAUAGGGAUGAAGCCGUGACUGACAGUGACUCUCCAGGAUAUCAGACAGGGGAUUGAACCUUAGACAUUCUCUGUGCCAGACAGAUGCUGUACCACUGAGCUUAUGGCACUUUCCCAGUGCAGCCAUACUGAGGGAAUUAAUAUUACCACCGAAAGUGGGGUGAUGGGGCCUGUACGGUGGCUAAAGUCCAAAGCCUAAUAUUACCUGACUCCACCGGUGAGGCAAUUCCUCACAGCUUGUAACUGUCUAUUUUCUCAGGAACAUGUGUGUCCAGCCCAUUCCAUGGGGGAAAAACUGCUUAAAGUUCUCACCAAGAGGUUGCAAUGUGAGUGGGACAGAGGGCUAAGCUUUUGCAGCUGGGGAAGAGUCUGACUAAAGAGGGAAAGUCAUGGAUGAUGAUGUGAGUGCGUUUGGGUUGGGCUGGAGCGUAAUCAAAAAGUGAGGACACCCUGAAAAUAUAUAGAUGUGGUGACUGGGCUUCUCGCAUCCAAGAAUGAUCAGCUCCUUGAGUAACUCUGAGUCAAAUCCAUUUCCCUUCCAGCCCGUGUGAGGUCACCCCAGCAAGGCUACCCUAAGCCGGCUGGAGACAUUUUGCUGUCUGAGGCAGAGAAGCAAAUAGUGCCUCUUGUCGCCGUCCAACAGAUUUGGCUUUGAAGCGGAGGUCAGGAACCUUUCUCAGCCCAAGGGCUGAAUUCUCUUCUGGACCACCUUCUGAGGGCCACAUGCCAGUGGUGGGCACAGGGCAAUGGUUGUGAAUUUCCCCUUUGCAUAGUAGGCUAGUUUCUGCACACACACUCACACACCCCUCUUAAUCUUCCAUCCAGACCAGCAAGAAGCAUUAUUACAGUUGGAGGACCGAUUCCAGCCAGACAAAUAAAUUAUGGGUGUGACGUAGGGCCAGUGAAAUGUGUGGCCCUCCAGGGCUCUUUAUAUAGCCCUUGGAACGCUUUCCAGGCCACAGCCCUCACUGGCCCGGCUUCACAGCCUACUUGAGUGAUUUUUGCCUAGGCGAGAGGUGUCCUCGAACUCCAGUAAUGCCUCUCACUUUUCUGGAUGGAGGGUAGAUAGGGGUAUUUCGUCUUUCCUGAAUCUUCCAACCUUCAGCUUAACUGGAUGGCCCCGACUUCUAAUAUUAUGAGGAAGGAAGGAGAUUUAUCUUCAAGGUUAAUUUCAAUUAGGGUGCAUUGCUCACAUUCACGCCACACGGUUGAAGCACUCUUGUGCCACUUUUGAGGUCUUGGAGAAUCCUGGGAGCUGUUGUUUGUUAAAGAUGAUGGGAAAACUAUGGGUCUGCGAGAGGUCUUCCAACAGCCCUUAACAAACUAGGGUUCUUUGAGGGAAGCCAUGAUUGUGAGUGGUAUAAGAGGGCUUCAGAUGCUUGGUGUGGAUGUGAUCACUGUGUAGUAAUUCAGAUUUCUCCUUGUUAUCAUUCUCCUUUAGCUCAGCAACUCCAGAUGUGAGAAACUGGCCAUUCUCUUUCUCCAUGCAUCUAAAUUUGGCAGUGGGAUGGUCUUCUACCAACCAAAGCAUACUUUGCACAGCCUUUUUCUUAACCUAAAAAAGCUCCUCUUUUUAUAAAGCCUGAAGCGGCUUGGAAAUUCCAGGCAAGUGUUAAGAAACAAUUUUGGUGUGCCGCGAUCAGGACAAAUAAUACAGGCCCUCUUGCUCCCUGUAGAGUUUUUCUGUCCUCCUGCAUUUCUGGGACUCAGUUGGGCCAUGAUUAUGGGCGGGUUUGGAAGGUGGGGUACAAUUAUGGGAGGGAAUAAAUGCCCUCCUUCAAAAGGUUGCAGCAACCCUGGUGUGGUUUGUGGGUGGAGUGGGUGGGGAAGGCGCAGUUCAAAGUGUGAGGGCCUUAGGUUAGCAAAGUCGCAUCUUCCCACCCUGCCACAAGGCUAUCUUCAUCUGUGUACACACCAUACAUUUAAAGCAAACAUCCCAGAAUCCUGGGAACCAUAGUUUACCCUUCACAGAGCUACAAUUUCCCAGCAGCCUGAACACUACAUCCACCUUUGCCUCUGGCCCCACCCAACACUGGGAUGUGGCCCCUGGGACAUUGUCCAGAACGGAAUGUGGUCUUUGGACCGAAAAAUAGUUCCCUACCCUCUGUUUUAAACACAGUUUUCUCAUUUGCCUGGCUCUUCUGGGAGAUUGUCUCUAUCGCUGACCAGCACAGAUGAGUAACAGAGCAAGGAAUGUCACUUUCUGGCUUUUUGUACUGAGUUUCGGAGAGCGAGUAGACUGGGCAAGGACUCUUGGUGCUGAUUUGAUCUCUUUGUUAUUUCCUCCCAGUCCUCUGUCUGAGAUCCAUCCAGAACGGAGGAGUUGGAGGAACGUUUCUCUGCAGAAUCGUUAAGGAUAGGAACAUAGGAAGCUGCCUUCUACCAAAUCAAACCAUUCAGCACUGUCUGCACUGACUGGCAGUGACUCUCCAGGGUUUCAGACAGGGUUGCUGCCCAGCCUCACCUGGAAAUAACAUGUGAAAUAGAUGCUCUUAAGAAGCACGACAGCAUCUUAAAAAGCAGAGACAUCACCUUGCCAACAAAGGUCCAUAUAGUUAAAGCUAUGGUUUUCCCAGUAGUGAUGUAUGGAAGUGAGAGCUGGACCAUCAAGAAGGCUGAUCGCCGAAGAAUUGAUGUUUUUGAAUUAUGGUGCUGGAGGAGACUCUUGAGAGUCCCAUGGACUGCAAGAAGAUCAAAUCUAUCCAUUCUUAAGGAAAUCAGCCCUGAGUACUCACUGGAAGGACAGAUCCUGAAGCUGAUGCUCCAAUACUUAUGAGAAGAGAAGACUCCCUGGAAAAGACCCUGAUGUUGGGAAAGAUGGAGGGCACAAGGAGAAGGGGACGACAGAGGACAAGAUGGUUGGAUAGUGUUCUCGAAGCUACCAGCAUGAGUUUGACCAAACUGCGGGAGGCAGUGGAAGACAAGAGUGCCUGGCGUGCUCUGGUCCAUGGGGUCACGAAGAGUCAGAGACGACUAAACGACUAAACAACAACAAGAAGAAGAAGCACGAAGAUAGCUCAGUCAGUAGAGCAUGAGACUCUUAAUCUCAGGGUUGUGGGUUCGAGCCCCACAUUGGGCAAAAUAUUCCUGCAGUGCAGUAGGUUAGACCAAAUGACCCUUGUGGUCCCUUCCAACUCUAUGAUUUCUCUUCUAUUGAGCUGUAGCUUCUCUCAACAAUUACCACUUUAGGCUCCUUCGGGCAACCUGUUUAUUAAGCAUUCCUCCUGGGUUUGUUACUGGGUAACAGGUUCCUUGUACAAAGAACACAUGGAGCUUAGACGGUCCAUCUAGCCCAUCAUCCUUUUCUCACAGCAGCCAAGCAGGACCUGAGCACAAGAAACCCUCCUAUGGUUUCCAGCAACUGUUAUGGAGGCACUGUGGUCUGUGGCUUGCCGAACAGAAGGUCGACAGUUCGAAUCCUCGUGAUGGGGUGAGCUCCUGUUGCUCUGUCCCAGCUCCUGCCAACCUAGCAGCUCGAAAGCAUGCCAGUGCAAGUAGAUCAAUAGGUACCCCUGCAGCAGGAAGGUAAACAGUGUUUCCAUGUGCUGUGGCUUCCGUCACAGUGUUCCAUUGCGCCAGAAGCGGUUUAGUCAUGCUGGCCACAUGACCUGGAACAUUGUCUGUGGACAAAUGCCAGCUCCCUUGGCCUGAAAGUGAGAUGAGCGCCGCAACCCCAUAGAUGCCUUUGACUGGACUUACCGUAACCACCCAUGGGUCCUUUACCUUAUGGAGAAGCAUUACUGCCUCUAACUAUGGAGCUAGUAAUCACCCUCCUAUUUGAGGAUGAAAUAUUUGUCUAAUAAGGGGUGUUCCUUCUACUCAUAAAAACAAAUGUCCUUUGGCAGUGGUAGCUGGUGUGUGUGUGUGUGUGUGUGUGUGUGAGUGAGAGAGAGAGAGAGAGAGAGAGAGAGACCAUACUUUGGUUUAAUGUGGAUUGUGAACCUUGUCCGUGCAGCAUUCUCCUUGAAACUCCUGCUCUCCCACACUUUCUCCUCCUAAAAGCAGAGAUCCCCAAUGCCACUGAUGUAGCUCUCAUAUUCGGAUUCUCAAAGCACAAAGCCCAAAGGGUUCACAUUAUAGAGAGGUAUGGAUGGGCCCUUGGCCUUAAAUUAAAUAACAUUUCUUGCAAAUGGUAUGCAACCGAAAUAUAGUAAAGCAAAUACCAAACUCCCCUGCUGUAACUCUCUUUCCUCCCAGCUGUUUUUGAAAAGGUUAUAUAACAGUAUAGGUUUUUAUAGCAAGUCACCAACCAGGCAUUUUUCUUUAUAUCUUUUUAAUUUUAUGCACCCACACAAGUGUGUGUGGGGAAGGGGAGAGACAAUUUCCUAAGUUAAUGUCUGGAUAUAACGCCUUUCUUUUAGAAGUGUUUUAAAAAUUGCUUUCCUGGGCAAGUCUUCUGUUUUUCUAACUGGUUCCUAUUAAUGGUUUUGUUAUGAAUUCCAGGAAUUCAUAAAGAGGACGCUUGCCAAAAGGGGGAGAAGAGUGAAUUUUGAGUGUGCUGUUCCAUCCCAAGGUGUAUAAAUGAAAAUGACUAUCUGGAGUGUGGAAUCAAUUGAUGGGGGAUAAUUAAGCAGCAUUCAGUGCUGCAAGAUCUCCGGACUGUGCCAGUAUUUUGUGCCAGGAGGGAUUCAAGAGUAUGCCAGAACUUUAGGUUUGCACGGUUAAAGUAGAUUAAAGUGACUUACUUCCUGCCCCAGCACAACAAUUCCCCUUUUUAUUUUUUUUAAAGGACUUUAUGCUGUUGUGAAAGUCAUGGGGAAAUGUACUGGGGCCGGAGACAAGAGCAUAGAAGGCAAAAUUUACCCUUCUUCAGUAGGUUAGUUUCUGCACACACUCUGACACCCCCUCUGUCCUCCAGCCAAGUAAGUAGGAAGCGUUAUCAGAGUUCAAGGACACAUUCUGCAAUAACACUCCAGGAGGAUGUGAAGCUGGGGCUGGUGAAGGGUGUUGUAUGUCCUGGGGGGGAGAUCUGAGGGCCAGAUGAAGAGGCCCGGAGGGCCACAUCUCCAUUCCCCUUCCUUGCUAUGUACUUAGGUAUAAAUAUGGCUCCACUAGCCAAAGUCUAUGGCUCUGUCUUCUGAGUAGGCAUACUUACAUCUGCAUUGUUGGUUCUGCCACGGGGAGGCUUCCAUGUGGAUGGGGCGCUCAUUUGUGCGGGGCUAAUCAGGGGCUGUAGUAGAUGG